rnacentral:rRNA from 1 species
GCGAACGCUGGCGGCAGGCCUAACACAUGCAAGUCGAACGGGCACCUUCGGGUGUCAGUGGCAGACGGGUGAGUAACACGUGGGAACGUACCCUUCGGUUCGGAACAACCCGGGGAAACUCGGGCUAAUACCGGAUACGUCCGCAAGGAGAAAGAUUUAUCGCCGAAGGAUCGGCCCGCGUCUGAUUAGCUAGUUGGUGGGGUAAUGGCCCACCAAGGCGACGAUCAGUAGCUGGUCUGAGAGGAUGAUCAGCCACAUUGGGACUGAGACACGGCCCAAAACUCCUACGGGAGGCAGCAGUGGGGAAUAUUGGACAAUGGGCGCAAGCCUGAUCCAGCCAUGCCGCGUGAGUGAUGAAGGCCCUAGGGUUGUAAAGCUCUUUCGGCGGGAAGAUAAUGACGGUACCGCAGAAGAAAGCCCCGGCCAACUUCGUGCCAGCCGCCGCGGUAAG